UCCCAUAAAUUAUGCGUCCUGUAUUAAAUCUAUUCCCUGCAAACCCUGACUACAACAGAAGGCUUUUGCCCCAGAUCCUAAAAUGUGGGCCCAAGGCCUUUUGCUUCCCUCUCUGUGCGAAUCCUGGAAGACUCCCUGGCGCCCACUGUCUGAGCUUCCAGCCUCCUGUCGUCAAGCAGCUUCUCAUACAGCAUCUCCCGAGGCCGGGCUGGACCCCUCGGGGCUGGGGACAGUGUCCUCAUCUGCCUGCCCUUCACAGGCCUGAGUUCCUGCCCAACAGCAGCCAGCGUGGAGUCCAGGGGUUUUCACAGUCAGUCAUUGUACCUGGUGGGCCUGGAGAGGACUGGUGACGUCCGAGAGCCUGUCAGAGCCAGGCUUUCAUCCCCUCAUCCUGGCAUGCCCAGGAGGCAGCAUCCGGUCACACCCAUCCUGUGACGGGGAACCUGAGGCUGGGGAGGUGGGGCACUGGGCACUGGGCACUGGGCACUGGGCCAAGUGCUCUCCUCGCUCAGGUUGCUGGCACCCACACCCAGCGGGCCUCCUGUGGAGCCCACAUGCUCGAAAGUGGGAGUGCGGAGCUAGGACGGAGCCCAGCAGCUGUGGACAUGCUGACUCUGCCUGCUCCCAGGAGCCCGGGCCCCGAGACCCAGGAAAUGGAGGCAAAUGACUUCCUCCAGAUAAGGGCAGAGCGAGCCGUGGAGGCACGCCGCUGCAGCUGCCGCAGCCUCUCCUCCCCAAGGCUUCCUAGAACCCACACGAGCAUCCAAGGUCCUGCCUUGUACAUGCGGUGCUGAUCGGCGAGGUUCGUGCUUCUACAGUUUGCUGCCAGAGCUGAAAAUUCUCCUGUGGCAUUGAGAUGGUUUAUUUCAUGUCAACUUGGUCAAACAUGAUUCUGGAUGCUUCUGUGAA